AUUUAACUUCAAUGUCGAAAAUAUGUUGAAUGUUCUGCAUGUUCAAUGUCAGAUUUAUCUUCAAUGUCGAAAGCACGCAGGUGCUGAAUGUCCUAUUUAACUUCAAUGCCGAAAAUAUGUUGAAUGUUCUGCAUGUUCAAUGUCAGAUUUGUCUUCAAUGUCGAAAGCACGUAGGUGCUGAAUGUCCUAUUUAACUUCAAUGUCGAAAGCAUGAUAUACAUGAAUAUUGGCGGUG